GCUUAACACAUGCAAGUCGAACGGAAAGGCCCAGCUUGCUGGGUACUCGAGUGGCGAACGGGUGAGUAACACGUGGGUGAUCUGCCCCUGACUUUGGGAUAAGCCUGGGAAACUGGGUCUAAUACCGAAUAUUCAUUUUUCCUCGCAUGGGGAUUGGUGGAAAGCUUUUGCGGUUGGGGAUGGGCCCGCGGCCUAUCAGCUUGUUGGUGGGGUAAUGGCCUACCAAGGCGACGACGGGUAGCCGACCUGAGAGGGUGAUCGGCCACACUGGGACUGAGACACGGCCCAGACUCCUACGGGAGGCAGCAGUGGGGAAUAUUGCACAAUGGGCGCAAGCCUGAUGCAGCGACGCCGCGUGAGGGAUGACGGCCUUCGGGUUGUAAACCUCUUUCAGCUCCGACGAAGCGCAAGUGACGGUAGGAGCAGAAGAAGCACCGGCCAACUACGUGCCAGCAGCCGCGGUAAUACGUAGGGUGCAAGCGUUGUCCGGAAUUACUGGGCGUAAAGAGCUCGUAGGCGGUUUGUCGCGUCGUCUGUGAAAUUCUGCAGCUUAACUGCAGGCGUGCAGGCGAUACGGGCAGACUUGAGUACUACAGGGGAGACUGGAAUUC
rnacentral:rRNA from 1 species